rnacentral:rRNA from 14 species
GCUACACUGAUGCAUUCAACGAGUAUACAACCUUGGCCGAGAGACCUGGGUAAUCUUUUAAAUGUGCAUCGUGAUAGGAAUAGAUUAUUGCAAUUAUUAAUCUUGAACGAGGAAUUCCUAGUAAACGCAGAUCAUCAAUCUGCAUUGAUUACGUCCCUGCCCUUUGUACACACCGCCCGUCGCUCCUACCGAUUGAAUGAUCCGGUGAGGCCCCCGGACUGCGGCUCC